rnacentral:lncRNA from 1 species
CCUUUGAAGCACACGGGGAGCAGCAUUUAUCAACUAUUCAGGGAUUCUUUUUCCUGCAACUUAGCUCUUAGCCUCCUGAAUGUAGUAACAAAAAUGAUAUAUGAACUUAGAAGCAGCACAGGAUUCAGAUGCUUUUUGAUUUCACAUGAAGAAGGAACCUCAGAAGAGUCCAAUAACUUCAUCAGCAUUUUACUGAACAAAUCCUUGGUAUUGUCCAUCUUGGAGGUCAUUGAGAUACAU